rnacentral:lncRNA from 1 species
UGGGGCAGCCUUGGCAGCAGGCUCGGUGGUGGGCUUAGCAGCGGGCUUGAUGGUGGGCUUGGCAAUAGGCUUGGCAAUAAAUUUCAUCAUGGCUCUAUAAUAGUUGUAGCCACAAUCGAGGAGGCUUAACUUUGAUGAUGGGUGGCGGUGUGACUUGAUCUUCCUCUUUGGACUCGUCAUCAUUGCUGGCCUUGGGGUCGAGACGAUCAAUAUUGACUCCCAAGAAUAACUAGGUGAUCUGCACCUUGCAAGCCUCAAACUCGUACCUGUAGGCCAUCGAGGAGCCUUUGGUGAUCUCAACUUCAAAGGCGACAGAGGGUUUGUACUCAUUCAUGAUCUUGAACUUUGUCUCGGCAACUAUCUUUAACCUCUCCACCUUCGCCUAAGCCUCAAUCAGUUUCUCCUUCUUUUCGGCAACCUUGAUCGCUGCCUCGCCAAGCUCCAAUGCCUCUUCGAGCUCAGCAACCUAUGAUGCAUCUUAGUGAUGCCAUGCUCCACUGUAAUAAAGCCCUCGAGGGCUUCAAUCCUCUCCCAAGCUGCUAAGAGCUUGGAUCUGGCUCGGGAGGUCUCUUCAGCUUCUUUCUUUUCCUUCUCAGCGGCCUUCGCCUAAGCCUUAGCGGUUCAAAGUUUCUCCUCAAGC